rnacentral:rRNA from 1 species
AUUCCAGCUCCAAUAGCGUAUAUUAAAGUUGUUGCAGUUAAAAAGCUCGUAGUUGAACUUCUGGCUAUUCUUCCAGCUGGCUUCGGUCGCUGUAAGAGUGGUCAUCCGCUUGGGAACUACGUUCGAACUUCACUGUUCGGCGUAAGGAACAGGCAUUUUACUUAGAAAAAAUUAGAGUGUUCAAGGCAGGCUAUCGCCCUGAAUACACAAGCUUGGAAUAAUGAAAUAGGACUAUUUCCAUUUUAUUGGUUAUUGGAACCAGUAAUGAUUAAUAGGGACAGUUGGGGACAUUAGUAUUUAAUUGUCAGAGGUGAAAUUCUUGGAUUUAUUAAAGACUAACUUAUGCGAAAGCAUUUGUCAAGGAUGUUUUCAUUA